rnacentral:piRNA from 1 species
UCCUGGAACUCUCAGCAUGACCACAGAUUU